rnacentral:rRNA from 1 species
UUGGGUUAGUCCGCAACGAGCGCACCCUUGAUCUUAGUUGCCAGCAUUCAGUUGGGCACUCUAAGGUGACUGCCGGUGACAAACCGGAGGAAGGUGGGGAUGACGUCAAAUCAUCAUGCCCCUUAUGACCUGGGCUACACACGUGCUACAAUGGAUGGUACAAAGGGCUGCGAGACCGCGAGGUUUAGCCAAUCCCAUAAAACCAUUCUCAGUUCGGAUUGCAGGCUGCAACUCGCCUGCAUGAAGCUGGAAUCGCUAGUAAUCGCGGAUCAGCAUGCCGCGGUGAAUACGUUCCCGGGCCUUGUACACACCGCCCGUCACACCACGAGAGUUUGCAACACCCGAAGUCGGAGGGGUAACCGCAAGGAGCCAGCCGCCUAAGGUGGGGUAGAUGAUUGGGGUGAAGUCGUAACAAGGUAACCA